GGAUUUUCUUCUGUUACAGAACUUCAUCUUAUCUUUUCUACAGUCUUUUUUUUGUAAUAUUUUACAAUCUGAAAAGCUAAAAACAUCUAUAGAUCAUUUAUUUUCCUAUUUGCAAAUAAUAAAGCUAUAUGACGUUUACAGCAGCAGAUGGAGUCAGUUAAAGAGGAAUACCAUCAAUUUCUAUUAAGCUUCCAGAGGGAUUAAUUCACUUGUCAGCCAUGAAGUCCUACAAGUAGUUUUACUGACACAGCUGGUCUGGUGAUGAACCCCAGUUCAGCUAUUGGGAAAUACAAUUGCUUAAGUGUAAUGGCUUUCCAUAAGUAUUCCACAUGCAGUCUUGCAAUUUUUUUAUCUAAAUUGAGCUCCAACUCCACCUUUUCACUUCUCUGCUGGCUUCCUGCAGGGAACAAGUGGGUGAGGAAGCACCAAG
rnacentral:lncRNA from 1 species